GCAUAUCAAUAAGCGGAGGAAAAGAAACCAACAGGGAUUGCCUUAGUAACGGCGAGUGAAGCGGCAAAAGCUCAAAUUUGAAAUCUGGCGCCUUCGGUGUCCGAGUUGUAAUUUGAAGAAGGUAACUUUGGAGUUGGCUCUUGUCUAUGUUCCUUGGAACAGGACGUCACAGAGGGUGAGAAUCCCGUGCGAUGAGAUGCCCAAUUCUAUGUAAAGUGCUUUCGAAGAGUCGAGUUGUUUGGGAAUGCAGCUCUAAGUGGGUGGUAAAUUCCAUCUAAAGCUAAAUAUUGGCGAGAGACCGAUAGCGAACAAGUACAGUGAUGGAAAGAUGAAAAGAACUUUGAAAAGAGAGUGAAAAAGUACGUGAAAUUGUUGAAAGGGAAGGGCUUGAGAUCAGACUUGGUAUUUUGCGAUCCUUUCCUUCUUGGUUGGGUUCUCCGCAGCUUACUGGGCCAGCAUCGGUUUGGAUGGUAGGAUAAUGAUUAAGGAAUGUGGCUCUACUUCGGUGGAGUGUUAUAGCCUUGGUUGAUACUGCCUGUCUAGACCGAGGACUGCGUCUUUGACUAGGAUGCUGGCAUAAUGAUCUUAAGCCACCCGUCUUGAAACACGGACC
rnacentral:rRNA from 1 species